rnacentral:ncRNA from 1 species
UGGUCGCGUCGUCGUCAUGCCCGUACGGGGGGGGGAAGCCGGUGCAAACCCGGCGCUGACCCGCAGCCGUGAAGCCGCCAGGCCAAGCCGGAAUGCCCCGUCACCGCAUGACCGGC